rnacentral:tRNA from 1 species
GGAGAGGUGGCUCAGAGGUUAAGAGCACUGACUGUUCUCCCAGAGGACCUGGGUUCAAUUCCCAGCAACCACA